rnacentral:rRNA from 1 species
GUCUGUGUGAAGUUAUACAGAGUCUAACCUGCCCAAUGAAUUUUAUUUAAAAGGCCGCAGUAAUUUGACUGUGCAAAGGUAGCAUAAUAAUUAGUUUUUUAAUUGAAGGCUUGUAUGAAUGGUUGGACAAAGAAAAAUCUGUCUUUUAUAUUAUUUUUGAAUUUUACAUUUAAGUGAAAAGGCUUAAAUAAAUUUAAGGGACGAUAAGACCCUAUAAAUCUUUACACUGUAUUUAAUUUUUUUAUAAUUUUGUAAAAUUUAAUAGUGUUAUGUUGGGGCAACAAGAAUAAAAAAAAAAACUGUUUUAUGAAUUAUACAUUUAUAUGUGAAUAAAACUAAAAGAUCCUUAAAAAAGAUUAAAAGUUUAAGUUACUUUAGGGAUAACAGCGUUAUUUUUUUUGAGAGUUCUUAUUGAAAAAAAAGUUUGCGACCUCGAUGUUGAAUUAAAAUUUCUCUAUGGUGCAGCAGUGUAAGAGAGAGUC